rnacentral:lncRNA from 1 species
UGGGAACCUGAAAAGUAGCAACACAAGAAAAAUUCAUAUCUUGGUUAGUGGAAACAUUCCUCACUAGCCUUUCCUCGUCUUUUUCUUUUGUUUCUUUUUCUAACUCAUUUUCUCUUCUUUCUUCAACUUCUUUUUCAAUUUUCUUUUUUGUUUCACAUUCCUUUUCACUCUCAAUCUCUUUUUGCUCUUUUUCAUUCUCUUUUUCUUUUUCCUCACUUGUUUUAACAACAGAAUUUUUCAGUUUGAUUUG